UACGUAGGGUGCAAGCGUUAAUCGGAAUUACUGGGCGUAAAGCGUGCGCAGGCGGUGAUGUAAGACAGAUGUGAAAUCCCCGGGCUCAACCUGGGAACUGCAUUUGUGACUGCAUCGCUGGAGUGCGGCAGAGGGGGAUGGAAUUCCGCGUGUAGCAGUGAAAUGCGUAGAUAUGCGGAGGAACACCGAUGGCGAAGGCAGCCCCCUGGGCUAACACUGACGCUCAGGCCCGAAAGCGUGGGGAGCAAACAGG
rnacentral:rRNA from 1 species